rnacentral:misc_RNA from 1 species
CUGCUACGGGCUUAGUUGUUGCCUGUUGUGGUAAAAAUGGUGGCAUGAGGCAGAUGUGAUUAAAUCCAUUUAGUUCAGAAAAUCAUUAAGUGGUCACUAAUGAUUAAAGAUAUUUGCUUUAAAGCAUAUCAGAUUGUGUCGAUACCACCGCUCAUUGAGCAGAUCAGAAUUGUCCAAUAUAAUCCAUCCAUCUCAAUAGAUGUCAGAUUUAUGAUUAAGCAUUGUAUUAAUUAAUUGAUUUUUUUGCCAUUUAUUAGUAGGAUUCUAAG